rnacentral:rRNA from 1 species
AUUGAACGCUGGCGGCAUGCCUUACACAUGCAAGUCGAACGGUAACGGGCCUUCGGGUGCCGACGAGUGGCGAACGGGUGCGUAAUACAUCGGAACGUGCCCGAUCGUGGGGGAUAACGAGGCGAAAGCUUUGCUAAUACCGCAUACGAUCUACGGAUGAAAGCAGGGGACCGCAAGGCCUUGCGCGGACGGAGCGGCAGAUGGCAGAUUAGGUAGUUGGUGGGAUAAAAGCUUACCAAGCCGACGAUCUGUAGCCGGUCUGAGAGGAUGAUCGGCCACACUGGGACUGAGACACGGCCCAGACUCCUACGGGAGGCAGCAGUGGGGAAUUUUGGACAAUGGGCGCAAGCCUGAUCCAGCCAUGCCGCGUGCAGGUUGAAGGCCUUCGGGUUGUAAACUGCUUUUGUACGGAACGAAAAGCCUUCUUUUAAUACAGGAGGGUCAUGACGGUACCGUAAGAAUAAGCACCGGCUAACUACGUG